GCAAACUGCGAAUACCGGAGAAUGUUAUCACGGGAGACACACGGCGGGUGCUAACGUCCGUCGUGAAGAGGGAAACAACCCAGACCGCCAGCUAAGGUCCCAAAGUCAUGGUUAAGUGGGAAACGAUGUGGGAAGGCCCAGACAGCCAGGAUGUUGGCUUAGAAGCAGCCAUCAUUUAAAGAAAGCGUAAUAGCUCACUGGUCGAGUCGGCCUGCGCGGAAGAUGUAACGGGGCUAAACCAUGCACCGAAGCUGCGGCAGCGACGCUUAUGCGUUGUUGGGUA
rnacentral:rRNA from 1 species